rnacentral:rRNA from 1 species
UACAGAGGGUGCGAGCGUUGUCCGGAAUCACUGGGCGUAAAGGGCGCGUAGGCGGUCGCGUAAGCGUGUGGUGAAAGCCCGGGGCUCAACCCCGGGUCGGCCAUGCGAACUGCGGGACUGGAGCCGAUCAGAGGCAGGCGGAAUUCCGGGUGUAGCGGUGGAAUGCGUAGAUAUCUGGAGGAACACCCGUGGCGAAGGCGGCUCUCUGGGACGGUACUGACGCUGAGACGCGAAAGCGUGGGGAGCGAACAGG